AGUGAACGCUGGCGGUAGGCCUAACACAUGCAAGUUGAACGGCAGCACAGUAAGAGCUUGCUCUUACGGGUGGCGAGUGGCGGACGGGUGAGGAAUACAUCGGAAUCUACUUUUUCGUGGGGGAUAACGUAGGGAAACUUACGCUAAUACCGCAUACGACCUACGGGUGAAAGCAGGGGAUCUUCGGACCUUGCGCGAUUGAAUGAGCCGAUGUCGGAUUAGCUAGUUGGCGGGGUAAAGGCCCACCAAGGCGACGAUCCGUAGCUGGUCUGAGAGGAUGAUCAGCCACACUGGAACUGAGACACGGUCCAGACUCCUACGGGAGGCAGCAGUGGGGAAUAUUGGACAAUGGGCGCAAGCCUGAUCCAGCCAUACCGCGUGGGUGAAGAAGGCCUUCGGGCUGUAAAGCCCUUUUGUUGGGAAAGAAAAGCAGCAGGUUAAUACCCCGCUGUUCUGACGGUACCCAAAGAAUAAGCACCGGCUAACUUCGUG
rnacentral:rRNA from 1 species